rnacentral:rRNA from 1 species
CCCGCUGAACUUAAGCAUAUCAAUAAGCGGAGGAAAAGAAACCAACAGGGAUUGCCCCAGUAGCGGCGAGCGAAGCGGCAAAAGCUCAGAUUUGAAAUCUGGCCGUCCUCGCGGCGGUCCGAGUUGUAAUCUGUAGGGGGGUAUUCUGGACGUCGUGCACUGCCUAAGUCCCCUGGAACGGGGCGCCAUGGAGGGUGAGAGCCCCGUAAGGCGGCGCGCGUCGGACUCUGUGAAGCCCCUCCGACGAGUCGAGUAGUUUGGGAAUGCUGCUCUAAACGGGAGGUAUAUUCCUUCUAAAGCUAAAUACCGGCCGGAGACCGAUAGCGCACAAGUAGAGUGAUCGAAAGGUGAAAAGCACUUUGGAAAGAGAGUGAAAUAGUACGUGAAAUUGUUGCAGGGGAAGCGCUCUUGACCAGUCGCGCGCCAGGGGAUCAGCCGCCAGCCUGCUGGCGGUGCACUCCCCUUGGUUGCGGGUCAGCACCGGCUCCCGCUGCGGGAAAGAGACCUCGGGAACGUGGCCGCGCCCUAGGCGCGGUGUUAUAGCCCGGAGUGAACUACCGCCCGCGGGGGCCGAGGAAAUUCUGCGCCCUCGGGCUAGGAUGCUGGCAUAAUGGUCAUCAGCGUCCCGUCUUGAAACACGG